rnacentral:rRNA from 1 species
GAUGAACGCUGGCGGCGUGCCUAAUACAUGCAAGUCGAGCGAACAGACGAGGAGCUUGCUCCUCUGACGUUAGCGGCGGACGGGUGAGUAACACGUGGAUAACCUACCUAUAAGACUGGGAUAACUUCGGGAAACCGGAGCUACUACCGGAUAAUAUAUUGAACCGCAUGGUUCACUAGUGAAAGACGGUUUUGCUGUCACUUAUAGAUGGAUCCGCGCCGCAUUAGCUAGUUGGUAAGGUAACGGCUUACCAAGGCAACGAUGCGUAGCCGACCUGAGAGGGUGAUCGGCCACACUGGAACUGAGACACGGUCCAGACUCCUAGGGGAGGCAGCAGUAGGGAAUCUUCCGCAAUGGGCGAAAGCCUGACGGAGCAACGCCGCGUGAGUGAUGAAGGUCUUCGGAUCGUAAAACUCUGUUAUUAGGGAAGAACAAAUGUGUAAGUAACUAUGCACGUCUUGACGGUACCUAAUCAGAAAGCCACGGCUAACUACGUG